rnacentral:rRNA from 1 species
UAGGGAAUCUUCCGCAAUGGACGAAAGUCUGACGGAGCAACGCCGCGUGAGUGAAGAAGGAUUUCGGUUCGUAAAACUCUGUUGUUAGGGAAGAAAAAAUGUAUAGUAACUAUAUACAAAAGAGACGGUACCUAACCAGAAAGCCACGGCUAACUACGUGACAGCAGCCGCGGUAAUACGUAGGUCGCAAGCGUUGUCCGGAAUUAUUGGGCGUAAAGCGCGCGCAGGUGGUUUAGAAAGUCUGAUGUGCAAGCCCACGGCUCAACCGUGCAGGGUCAUUUGAAACUAAUAAACUUGAGUGCAGGAGAGAAAAGUGGAAUUCCUCGUGUAGCGGUGAAAUGCGUAGAGAUUAGGAGGAACACCGGUGGCGAAAGCGGCUUUUUGGCAUGCAACUGACACUGAGGCGCGAAAGCGUGGGGAGCAAACAGG